UUGUCUUUGUGUGAGCUUCUGCAGGUCCCUUUCAGCAUUGAAGAUCCAGAUUACAAGGGGCUUGAGCUGGAUGUGAUGUCUCCAUGUGAGAAGCACGGCAUGGCAUCUGAGAGAUUUGUUGCCUUUGAAGGAACAGACACAGGCAGGCGGUUUUUAGCAUGUGCACAGCCGGCAGGUAGCAAUUGUGGCUUUGUUGAAUGGGUUGAUCACCAGUGGCCCCCAACAAUGCAGAAUGCAUUGUUGAAGCUAUGGGCAAUGGUUGAAGAUGCCAAAACUGCUAGGGUGAAUGACAAUCUUGAAAGUUCUUUCACUAUCCACCAUCUGACAGAAGAGAAGAACAAGCUGGAUGCCAACUAUGACAAGCUAGUCCAAGAUGUGCAUGAGCUGAUGAACUUCCAGGAAGAUAAGGUGGUGGAUUUCAGACAUCUGCAGUCUGCCAUUACAUAUCAGCAGGAGGUAAGAAAAGAACUGAUUGAUGAUAUGAAGGCACAGAUGGCAAAGAAAGAUGAAGAGACCCAGAAACUUACUCUCAAGUAUGAGCUGCUGCUCAACCUGACAAGAGCUCAAGCACCAGUCAUUCAAAACUUGAAGCUGAACAAAAUGAAAGAGAAGCAAGUGCUUACUGAAGCUAGUAUGAAUUUGGAGCUGAAGAAUGCAGAGCUAACAAAGUGUCAGGAGAAGCUCACCCAAGAGAAGCUAGAGUUGAAGCUUGAGGUUGCUGAUCUGCUUGAGGGAAAUGAAAAGCAUAUUGAAGAGAAGUGGCAGUUAGAGUUUCAGAAUGAAAAGUUGAAGGAGAAGUUCAGGGGGAUUCAGGCCAUCUUGGAGAAGUGA
rnacentral:rRNA from 1 species